UGUAAAAUUGAAAUUACCGACCUUUACGGGUUCAGAAAUCACAAUUGAGGACUUGGAUGUGUUAAUGAAAAUUUUUAGAACUAUUUGGGAAACUUAAUUGGAAAUCUAAUUUGUCUGAUUUGUUAAUGUGCGUUUGGGUGAUUAACUUGGCGCUGCAAAUUAAAGGCCUUAGAGGCUUCAAAAACCAGAAUAGGGGACAUAUUUAUGAUCAUCAUAAUUUUUAGAGUCAUCUGGAAAGUUUAAUUGAAAUUUAAUUUUUCGCGAUUCGUAAGGGCGUGUUUGGCCCUCCUUAUUUGUGAUAAAGCUUGUAUAAUUAAUAUAUAGGUGUGUAUGAGUUAUAUAAGUGGUGAACUCAUACUUUUGGAGUCAAAAAACAAAAUAUCUAAAGAGAGAGAGAGGAAACCGUGAAAGGGAGAGAGGGAAGAGUGUCAAUUUUCUCAACAUCCAUGGAGGCUUUGAAGAUGAAGGAAGAGAAUUGAAGGAAAGAAAGAAGAUCACCCAUGGGACUUGGAGGAAUUGAAGAGAGCUAAGAGGUAGACAAAGAUUGAGUUAGGCACUCCACCUGGAGGUCAGUUUUAACCCAUGGCAUCCGUGCCUCUUUUGUCAACCUCAGAGUAUCCAGGCACUUAAGUGAAGGCAGCCUUUUUGCUAAACUUUUGAUUUUACACUCUGAUUGUUUGCUUAAGGUUGAUGUAUAUAUAAUUCCUUUGCCUGUCCAUGUUGUUUUACGCCCAAUUCUAAGGGCUGGGUCUGUAUAUAUAUAUGUACAUAACUAACUCUCUGGUGCACGUCACUGUAUGUUUAUUUGCCUUAUGUUCUGUCUGUGAUCCUGGCAUGAUA